rnacentral:rRNA from 1 species
GAAUCUUGGACAAUGGGCGCAAGCCUGAUCCAGCCAUGCCGCGUGGGUGAUGAAGGCCCUAGGGUUGUAAAGCCCUUUCGGCGGGGAAGAUAAUGACGGUACCCGCAGAAGAAGCCCCGGCUAACUUCGUGCCGGCACCCGCGGUAAUACGAAGGGGGCUAGCGUUGCUCGGAAUCACUGGGCGUAAAGCGCACGUAGGCGGCUUUUUAAGUCAGGGGUGAAAUCCCGGAGCUCAACUCCGGAACUGCCUUUGAUACUGAGGAGCUUGAGUCCGGGAGAGGUGAGUGGAACUGCGAGUGUAGAGGUGAAAUUCGUAGAUAUUCGCAAGAACACCAGUGGCGAAGGCGGCUCACUGGCCCGGUACUGACGCUGAGGUGCGAAAGCGUGGGGAGCAAACAGG